CGCCUGCCCCUGCCCCCUCCGCCCCAAAUCGCGGCCAUCCCCGCCGAGACCCCACCCCGGCCGCCUGCGCCUAGCCCUGCACGCCGCCCGCCUCCCCCACCCCACGGCCACGAUCGAGCGCCCCUCCUCCCCGGAGGCUCGCCUCCCCAUGGAGCUCGCUGCGCCCGUCCUUGCCCCGGUGGGCACCCGCGCGCGGCCCAGCACGUGGCAGCGACGGCGGUGGGGUCGCCGCCGUUCAGCUGCGGCGCGGGGCAGCGGGGCCGGUCGGUGGCAGCGGAGGAGGCCGCCGCGCCCAUGGCGACAGCGGGAAGAGGAGCAGCUUGGGCCGGCCGCAGCUCUCCCUUCCCAAUCCCCCCACCGCCGGCGUAGUGGUGCAAGGGCUCGGCGUCCACGUACCUCACUGCCGGUGAGAUAUCCGGCCUCGUCGUGCUCGCCCCCGAGCUCGUGGCUGCCGGCUCUUCGUCUUCCUCCUCUACAAGGCGGCGACGCCCCUCCACUUCACGCCCUCCAAGGUGGCCCAGCUCGGCCGCCGAUCCGGAGGUGAUUUUCCCUGGUCCUGCUCACCAUGUGCUCGAUGAAUCAGCUGUGAAUCAGCCAUUGGAGUGGAGGUGGUUGGUGGGUUGUCCUAAUCCAUAAGCUGGUUACAGGAUGCAUUUUUGGCCUCUGAAGUAGGACAGGGUUGCAGCAGUAUGUGCAAGUGCAAUGUUAUCGGUUUUGAUAUGAUUCGAGGAUGUGUACAGAAGGCAUCGAUGCUGUGGGGCAUGUUGCUCGUCUAAAUUAUGUUACCUCGUCAUUCAUCUCUCCUGAAACUGUCAAACAUGCUGCCAUGUGUGGCUUGUCAACACGGCUACUAAGUCCAAACUAUUUGCAGAUAAGGAGGAGCGUGAAAUUCAGAGAUUAGCUGCUACCAUCGUAAUUCAUCAGGUUUGUUGCAGUACCAAAUUUAUUGUUACUCCAAAUUCUGAACAGGGGAUUAUUUUACUAGGGGAUACAACAGAUAGUAACAUCUCAUUUCUCCAUGUCAUCAGUGUUGUUCCUCACUUAAUAUCCAUGACUUGGUGCAAGAUGAGGCCAUGUGCCUCCUCCAAUCUGGUGAUGUGCUAGCGUAAAAAAAAAAUGGUACACGACAAUAGUAGAAAUAAAACAGGACCAACCUCUUAUUAUCAUUUCACCUUGAGUCCUUGUUUAUUAUGCAGUUUAACUUCUGUAUUUUGCCAGCUUGGCUUAGCUGAUACAUUGGUUUGAUGAAGUGACACUAUCAUAGUCAUAACAGGGGAUACAAAUCAAGGUAAAUAGGGUUUUCCUUCAUUGCGACUUGUUGACAGAGGGCGCAAAGGACAAACCAAUGUGCCCAAACAUCCUGAGAAGCAUGGUCAAAGCACAACUGUGACAGAGGGCUUAGAUGAUAUCUUGGUGAAGCAUGUAUCUAGGCUUGAAAGGGAAAAGAUUGAUUAUGAAAAGAGGAAUCCAUUGGGUGAAGGAUGGACCAACCUGCCACAUGAUCAACGAAAGAAUGGUAACAAUGCUUGAGCAUUUGAAAGUUUAGAUCAAGUCUUAUUGAAGCAUGUAAGUCGCCUAGAAAGGCAAAAGAUGGACUAUGAGAAGAGGAAUGCAUUGGGAGGAGGAACCAACAUGCAGAGUGACAUGCAAAGGCCCUGUAACAGUGCCAUUGCUGCGGGCAGUUUAGAUCAAGUCUUAGUCAAGCGCAUCUCCAGGCUUGAAAAGGAGAAGAUUGAGCAUGAAAAGAUGGGGUAUGAUCUUGCUAAAGAGUCAUGCACAAUGUACAGAUGGGGCAGCAGGAAGUUUGACUGACAUCUUUGUCAAAGCUUCCACUUGAGCAGGCCAAGCUAGCAUCUGCUGCCGAAGAAACACCAGCCAGUGGCUUAAACCCUGUCGGAGAGCAUAGAAGAGCAAGAGAGAAGGAACUUCUGGAUGCGUGGGGGAGGAAUGGGCCUUGGGAACUCUGUGAAGCCUCGUGUGUCCAUUAUUGAGAGAGCUAAGGCUGCUUGGAGGAUAACUGAGAAUGAACAGAAGCAGAUGGUUGCUGCAAGGGAGCUAUGACUUGGCUGAAUUGGAUGGUGCUCCAGCUCGGAGGAAAAAUGCAAGCUCUGAACUCCUUUCUUCUGCUGAACACAACUAGAGAUUGUUUGUUAGGAUCAGAUUAUCCAGUGGAUCUUGACCUGCCGUAAAGCUUGACAUUGUCAACAGGUUACUAGAUCAUAUCCACGAUAGAUUUGCUAGACUCUACUACUAUUUGGCAACCGCUUGUUGAUGUGUUUAAUAAAAAUGCUGAUAGCAUAUAGUUGAUUCUUUUUUGGUAUACGUGCAUUUUAUCUGGAUGCUUCUUGCAUUGCCUGAUCACAAAUAAGGAUGAACGAGCUGCAAAUUCACCAAAAUUAUCUGGAUGCUUGUGCCAAGUUCAAUUGCUUUGUUUCUGUUCUACUCUGGUUUCAUUUCUAAAUAUGAAUGGAACAACAUUAAAGAGCUACUAUUUGGAGAACUGGGUGAGAUAUAGCAUAAUAUGUGUUUAUGAAUGACCAUAGGCAUAAAUCAAUAUCUAGCAGAACUUUCUUUAACUUUCAAUAGCUUCCAGAAUAAUUUUAUUUCAUGGUUUGUGCACAUUAGUUAUCCAAUCUGGUGAUGUUUCUGGAAAUGGUUACGUGGAUAUGUCUGAUUUUUUGUGGUAAGAUAUGAAGGCAAUGAACAGUGAAAAGCUGGUAUUUUAAAUUUAUUUAUAAUGUGCUGAACCAUUUGUCCAUGAGGUGGUAAAAGCUCAGACAUGGUGUGUAAAAACAGCCACAGCAAGGGUAAGGAUUUUUCAUCUACAUGUAGGGUGUUCUUGUAUCAUAAUGUAAACCCUUGUCAUCUGCAGGAUAAGAGAUAAAGAGAUGUGACCUGGGAAUCAAGAUCAUGAAGAAGGGUGAGAAUACAAUCUUCACCAUCCCACCAGAGCUCGUCUGUGGUGAGACUGGCUUACCAGUCACCACCAACAAUCCCACUGAAAAGAGACUUCAGUACACCGUUAAGCUUCUUUCAUGGGCCAGCAUCAAGGAUAUCUGCAAGGAUGAUGGUGUCUUCAAGAUGAUAUUUAUUCAAAGGAAAAAAUGGGAGAACCCCAAGGACCUUGAUGAAGUUUUCGGUAAGAUGUUGCAUGAUACAUUUAAAUUGGUGCCAAUAUUCUGUGUUUUAUUACAAAUUGUUCUUGACAUGCUUUGCUCAACUGAUUCAUACAGUUAAGUACGAGGCAACAUGCUCUUCACGGAAAAUUUCUGUUGUUUGCAUCUGACCACGUGAGACAGAUCAUUACUACCUCCCUUUUCCUAUUAAACAGGCUGCAAAGUACAUAUAUAUGUGGUAACUAAGGUCUCAGAUGAAUUCAGGAAGUCAAAGGGCCUUAUAUUAGUCAGUGCUGGUGUAUCUGCCCGUGGCGAAGAUUAUCCUCAUGUUACCCUUGUUAUACAGCCAAUACACGUGGGAUCUAUGAUUGAUUCUCUUAUAAAAUAAAAUAAAAUAUGCGUAUUCAUUGAGAAUUUAUCUAAUGUUGUAGGUUGGCCUGCGUGCUGCUAAAGAAAAGUAUAUACAGACUUGGUAGGACUGGAUGGAAAGGCAUGAAAGGCCAGGGCAUCUUACUGUUGGCUCCCUGGGAAAUGUUUUUUCUUAGUACGGUUAACGAUUUGUCAAUAUCAGAGGCUGCGACACCUUCAGUUGAUUCAAGCAUUCAGGCGAUGAAUGGGGAAGUGAAGAAUUUGAAGGAAAAUUCCUUUGUCGAAGUACAUAGGCAGUUAGGAUUGUCAUGUGUUAUGUAGUCAUAGCAACUACUCGAUAUUGUGUUUUGGCAAACUGUAAAGUUGACUAUUGUUCAUCUUCA